UACAGAGGGGCAAGCGUUGUUCGGAAUUACUGGGCGUAAAGGCGCGUAGGCGGCCUGCUAAGUCGGAUGUGAAAUCCCUCGGCUCAACCGAGGAACUGCAUCCGAUACUGGCGGGCUUGAAUCCGGGAGAGGGAUGUGGAAUUCCAGGUGUAGCGGUGGAAUGCGUAGAGAUCGGCAGGAACACCCAGGGAACCGAGCCGACUGGCAUCGUACUGACGCUGAGUGCGAGAGCGUGGAGCGAACCGG
rnacentral:rRNA from 1 species